AUUGUGAAUUUUGUUUACAGAUAGAUUUUUGUGUGUGUGUGUGUGUGUGUGUGUGUGUAAGUGUUGGUUUGAUUUGGAACAAGCCUGGUAGGUGGCUUUGUGAGUUACCUGUCAAUGUUCAAGUGUGUUUACUUCAUUAAUGGUUUCUGAGUGUGAAAGUUUGUUUCACUUCUGCUCUCGCUUCCGGAGCCUAUGGUUUCCUCAUCACCGUGACACUCCCAAGCCUGCUGCUAACAUACUGCUGCAGAAGAGAAUGUCAUCGCAUGGGAUUACAACCUUAAACAAAAGUCACAACGGCCAGGCAGUCAAUCUCAGGCCAAAUACAGAAGAAAAGAAAUGAAGAAUUAAGAGAAACAUUCUCCAAGGUUGAAGAACUGUAUAAUUACGUCAUUAUUCAAUUUCCUGGUUAACAGGUAAUCCCAGUCUGUUUUAUUAAGUCUUGCCGUAAAACCUACCUUGAUUUGAUCCUGUUGAGUCUUGAUGUCUAUCACUGUUUAAGUAGAAGGAGACAUUAUUUAUGCCAAAAGUAUCUAAAAGACUGCUGUGGGCUAAAGGCAGCCUCUUCACAGGCAGAGAUGUAACAGAGGCCGUAAGGUAAUUAUCUGGCUCUCUGUUUGCAUCAGGACCAAGAGCAAUAGCUCAGCACUGAAUCC
rnacentral:lncRNA from 1 species